rnacentral:rRNA from 1 species
UUCCUACGGGAGGCAGCAGUGAGGAAUAUUGGUCAAUGGGAGAGAUCCUGAACCAGCCAAGCCGCGUGAGGGAAGACGGCCCUAUGGGUUGUAAACCGCUUUUGUCGGGGAGCAAAGCGAACCACGUGUGGUUCAUUGAGAGUACCCGAAGAAAAAGCAUCGGCUAACUCCGUGCCAGCAGCCGCGGUAAUACGGAGGAUGCGAGCGUUAUCCGGAUUUAUUGGGUUUAAAGGGUGCGCAGGCGGAGGUGCACGUCAGCGGUCAAAUUGCGGGGCUCAACCCCGUACUGCCGUUGAAACUGCAUC